rnacentral:rRNA from 1 species
UACGAAGGGGGCUAGCGUUGCUCGGAAUCACUGGGCGUAAAGCGCACGUAGGCGGCUUUCUAAGUCAGGGGUGAAAUCCUGGAGCUCAACUCCAGAACUGCCUUUGGUACUGGAGAGCUUGAGUCCGGGAGAGGUGAGUGGAACUCCGAGUGUAGAGGUGAAAUUCGUAGAUAUUCGGAAGAACACCAGUGGCGAAGGCGGCUCACUGGCCCGGUACUGACGCUGAUGUGCGAAAGCGUGGGGAGCAAACAGG